UACGAGAGGUCCAAACGUUAUUCGGAAUCACUGGGCUUACAGAGUUCGUAGGCGGUUCUACAAGUGGGGUGUGAAAGCCCUCGGCUCAACCGAGGAACUGCGCUCCAAACUGUAGAACUAGAGGGAGAUAGAGGUGAGCGGAACUGAUGGUGGAGCGGUGAAAUGCGUUGAUAUCAUCAGGAACACCGGAGGCGAAGGCGGCUCACUGGGUCUCUUCUGACGCUGAGGAACGAAAGCUAGGGGAGCAAACGGG
rnacentral:rRNA from 1 species